CGGAGAAUUGCUAGCUUGCUAAUAAUUCUCUAGUGGCGCACGGGUGAGUAACACGUGAGUACCUGCCCCCAAGAGUGGGAUAGCCCCGGGAAACUGGGAUUAAUACCGCAUAAAGCAAUAAAGCAGCAAUGCGCUUGGGGAUGGGCUCGCGUCCUAUUAGUUAGUUGGUGAGGUAACGGCUCACCAAGGCGAUGACGGGUAGCCGGUCUGAGAGGAUGUCCGGCCACACUGGAACUGAGACACGGUCCAGACACCUACGGGUGGCAGCAGUCGAGAAUCAUUCACAAUGGGGGAAACCCUGAUGGUGCGACGCCGCGUGGGGGAUAAGGUCUUCGGAUUGUAAACCCCUGUCAUGUGGGACAUUAAAAGAUAGUACCACAAGAGGAAGAGACGGCUAACUCUGUGCCAGCAGCCGCGGUAAUACAGAGGUCUCAAGCGUUGUUCGGAAUCACUGGGCGUAAAGCGUGCGUAGGCGGUUUCGUAAGUCGUGUGUGAAAGGCGGGGGCUCAACCCCCGGACUGCACAUGAUACUGCGAGACUAGAGUAAUGGAGGGGGAACCGGAAUUCUCGGUGUAGCAGUGAAAUGCGUAGAUAUCGAGAGGAACACUCGUGGCGAAGGCGGGUUCCUGGACAUUAACUGACGCUGAGGCACGAAGGCCAGGGGAGCGAAAGGGAUUAGAUACCCCUGUAGU
rnacentral:rRNA from 1 species